CCCAUGUCUUUUAGUGUCCAUUUAGAUAUUUCAGACCCCUUAUCUCCCUCCCUUGAAUUGCUGAGCAGCGCAGAGGCGGGUGUAAAACGUCUCAGAUGGUCUCACUAGCCCUGACCAGCCAACAUCACAGGUCCCUGCCUUGCAAAAAAAAAAAAAAAAAAAAAAAAAAAGUAUUUUUAUUUUUUUUUCCAGGAAGGAAUGGAAAUUAUCUACCCCCCACCCCAAGAGCCGCAAGUUUGGCCGACGAUCGCGCCCCUGUUAUUUGGGGAGGCAAUAACUCCUUUUUCCACUCGCUCCAGCACAGGUUACGUUUGCGAGAGGAAUUUGCAAGGGGAGGGAAGGAGGGAGACUCGUCGGGGCAGACGUGAUGUUUACAGCUCUGGAGAGCUCUGGGUCACUGAUCAAACCAGCAGCGAGUGGCCUGCGGACCCCCCAAACCAGCGCGGGUUUUAACUCUCAGCUCCCUUCUCCCUCCGCCCCAGGGCUGUUUGCAGCCAGCCCCGCUCCUGCGUGCAGAAAACCUUCCCUGCACGCAGAAAUCGCUCCCAUCUGACACCUCCGAGAGCCCCGUGCCGGGAUGGGAAUAGGCAAUGUGAGCUGCACGUACGUCUGGAAAACAAACACAGACCAUUUGAUGCUCGAAUCUGCUGCAAAAUGCUUGAAAGCAGGAACAUCUAUGGAAGUAAGGGCUCAGCGACUGAGGUUCCUCCAAAUUAAAAGACCAAGGUAAAUACGUGGGGAUUGUUCCCCCCUAGGCUGCCAAAUAGCCAAAGUUGAUACUCCUCUUGUACCAAAUACAUCGGUACAAGACUGGAUACGUCCCUUCCUGGCCUUACUGCAUCCAGGGAGAAGUGCCUGGCUGUUAAGUGAGUAACAGAAAACAGAUUUCCGUCCCAAAAAGAGUGGCACAAAAGCUCGGUGGCUCUCCUAGCAGUGCCCAAAUGACAGCAGCUACAACUUACAGAGGCUAUGUGCAAACUCCCCUAGCAAGGACAGGUUUAAAAGGGGACGAGGCCACCACUUGUCCUCCCUCUGGCACGCAUGGCCAGCCCUGUAAGGCUGUAAGAUUGCAGCAACAUGAGAUUUUACCCCCGCCAGACAUCUUGCAGAAGAUCACAGUGGUAUGCAAGCCUGCAGCCUCACAGCUCUGCUUUCUUCUGCCUCUUUUCUCCCCCUACCCUGCCCUUAAAUAACAGAGAUUUUGGGGCACUGACAUCCCGUGUACCUGCCUGUUAAGGGGCUGGAUUCAGAGCCACAUCUCCUUCUGCCCCCCUUUCAGUGGGGUUUCUCUCCCUCACCUUGCCUUUAGCAUCAUCGCCUGCACUGCAGGAGUGCCCAGCUGGAGCCUCGGCAGGGGCCAGCUCUUCUCUCCCAUCACCAGCCAGAAGAAAACCAAAGCAGAGCCUCUCGACUCCUGUGCCAUGUGGCCAAAAACCGAGCAAGCCUGACCUCCACAGCCCGUGGAAUGAGCAGAGCAAGGACCCAAGGUCCCACCCCUACCCCAACGCUGCCUUUUAAGGCCUCCAUCCUAAUAAAAACCAGCUGUCAGCUCCUCUCUCCAGCACAGAAUGAUCCCUUCAGGGUGGGGUGAUGCUUUCUCUUCCCUACGAAGAAGUCCAGUAACCCCUCCCUUGCUGCAGACGGGAGCUGGAGUCCUCCUUGCAGGGGUCUUAAUGGUGGAGCCGUAAUUAAUAGCAGGGCCUUGAAAAAGCGGAGAGAUGGAGACCACCUGGAAAAGAUAAAAUGUCCCCAAAACCUUUAUGGAAUAGGAGGGAUAUUGCGAAAUGUUCGGGGGAACAUCUCCUGUUAUGAUCCCAGCUUUGUGAAUGCUGGCUGAGAGUAAAAACACCUCAUCUGAGAGCAAGACGUUUGUUAGACAUCCCUAUUUCUGGCCAUUUUUAACCCAGUCCCUGAUCCCCAAACUAAUUCCGACUGUGAUGGGAUGCGUGGACCGGGACAGAGCUGUGCCAGGUUUUGCUCUAACACUGCUGGUUUCGGGACCUCUCAAGCACAGCAGCAUUAGGGCCAGAUUACCCUGUCCAGAAAUAGGAAUGGUUUCCCAGGAGUAGGGAACCCUAAAGGUUUUUUUCUAAAGACCUAUCACAGAUAUAGGCACCAGGAGAUGCUCAUCCACUCACAAUGCUGCCAGAUCAGCUUCUAAAAACCUGGUCUGAUUUUCUUUAAAAUCUUUAAGGUCCGUGGCUUGCAGCAUCUUCUCUUCCAGCAGGCAGUUUUACUAAGGAACGGUCUUCAAGGGGAUGCUCUGAAAACCUUCCCCAGAAACACGCAGGCUUGUUGUUCCAUUGUUAUCUAAACCAGCCUGGGAAAUAUUGCAGAUGAGUCCUUUUUGUUGACAGGAGCGAUUUUUAUUUUUUUUUUUUUCCUGAGUGGGGUGGUGUGCUCUCUGUCUGCUCCCACCUUGACAGCUCAGUCGGGAUUUCUGUUCACCUCCAAACACCCGACUGUGGGGUUUGCUUCCUCGUCCGCGAUGGAAGCCUUCCAAGCGAGUGGCCCUGCAGAGCGUCCAUUCAUCUCCCCUCUGUGUGUGUCCCCACGCAGACACGCACGCCUCUCUAAACAACUUGUCCGACCGUUGUUUUACUUUAGCGAAACCGAAUACUGCAGUUUACAUUCACCCAUGAUGUCACGAUAAGGUUUGUAACAGCCUGAGCCCGUGGACAAGGACCUCGGCGUCAGCUGCAUCGUGUGCCAAAAUGAAAUUACGAUUUCAGUUAUGAUUUUCAUGCAGUGAUUACGAAAUAGGUGCUGAGCAAGGUAUAGCAUUUCCGAAGAUGUCAUACGGAUUCGGGGCACUGGGUUACUUUAUUUUUAACCUAGAACCCUACCAGGGGUAAAUUAUGGGGUGGCUUGUAAACCCAGGCAGGCAUUUGCUCCUUUUGCCUCCUCAUAGCACUGCUACACUAUCACUAGGAUGCCAUCCUGCUCUUGGAAAACACAGGGCAUUGCCUAUCAGCUUGGCCACUUAAUUGCAUGAAAUCUACAAAUAUUUGUGAAACUGUUUUAAUUGGAUUUAUUUGGAGUGUAAAUAUUCACGAAGCUCAUUCUGUCCUCAGCAAAAUGCCGGAUUUGGAAGCCAUACAUCACUCUGCUCAGAAAGACAAGGGCUUGGCAUGGUGAUUGCAGGCAGUUCAUUAAGGUGAGUUAAGAUUAAGUUAAUUAAGUCCAUGAGAUGAGGAGGAAGGGAAAUGGGGACUUGUCUGAUCUGCCCUGCCUGGGCGCAUCCCCACAGCCCACUGUUGUUGAUGUGCAUGGAGAAAGAAGGGAAAAUAACGGCAGGCUUUUCUCACAGACCAGCCACAAAUGUCUGAAGACACCGUGUAAAAUCCCCUCUUCUCAUCCUGUCUCCAUCCCUGGUCCUCACCAAACUCUGCGAGAUGAGUCUUAGGAGAUUUCAUGGCACUUUCUGGAACCUGAGACGUUCACCAAGCUGCUGCCAGCCCUUUCAUCAAAGAAACACAGGGCUCCCAAAUGCCAGCGAUGCAAUGUAAAUGGUAUGCCUUAUUUUUAAAUGCCGACAAUAGCAGAUAGAAAGCAUUAUGCCUCCUUGAAUGACCAUGAUCUGUUCGAUUGCCACCUCCUUGAGCCCACAGAGCCUUGGAUAACAACAUAGAAGUUGGGGGCUUGCUGCCAUAAUCAUUUUGGGGAGAUUCCGUGGUCUGCUCCAUGCUAGAGGUCUGACCAAAAACUUUCUUCUUGAUUUUCAGCCUCUGCAUCCAGACCCCACACAACUCAGUGGAAAACCUCUAUUAAUAUCAACAGGAAUGAUCAGACUUGAAGAGCCAGAGCCUCGGUGAACUAUAAUAAUUCAUAAUCACUGGGGAGCUGAUCAUCCUUCUUGUUGCUCCUCUCAUCCGUCCCAUGGUGGCAAUAACAUUAAAAUGUUACGCUACGAGAAUAACCCCGAACUUGCUAUUCCCAUUUGAAAACACAACAGCUUCAUUUACUGACUCAUCCUAAUACUCUGCAGGACAGCUCCCGUAUUAGUCUACUUUUUUCCUUUGUAUUGUCCCUUUCUUUUAAUCUUGCUCCCUUUACUUGCUUUUGUGUGGUUUUAUUUUGGGAAUUGGGCAAGGUGAAAUAUAGGGGUAAGGGGAAGGAGCAUAGCAGCUUGCAUUAAGGCAGACAUUGCACUGGCAAGGCAGCAGUUAGCCAAGUACAUGUGACAGAAAGCAUCUCUAAAUAAACAAUAAUAUUAAAAUAAUAACAGU